rnacentral:rRNA from 1 species
GACGAACGCUUUCGGCGUGCCUAAUACAUGCAAGUAGAACGCUGAAGAGAGGAGCUUGCUCUUCUUGGAUGAGUUGCGAACGGGUGAGUAACGCGUAGGUAACCUGCCUUGUAGCGGGGGAUAACUAUUGGAAACGAUAGCUAAUACCGCAUAACAAUGGAUGACCCAUGUCAUUUAUUUGAAAGGGGCAAAUGCUCCACUACAAGAUGGACCUGCGUUGUAUUAGCUAGUAGGUGAGGUAACGGCUCACCUAGGCGACGAUACAUAGCCGACCUGAGAGGGUGAUCGGCCACACUGGGACUGAGACACGGCCCAGACUCCUACGGGAGGCAGCAGUAGGGAAUCUUCGGCAAUGGGGGCAACCCUGACCGAGCAACGCCGCGUGAGUGAAGAAGGUUUUCGGAUCGUAAAGCUCUGUUGUAAGUCAAGAACGAGUGUGAGAGUGGAAAGUUCACACUGUGACGGUAGCUUACCAGAAAGGGACGGCUAACUACGUGCCAGCAGCCGCGGUAAUACGUAGGUCCCGAGCGUUGUCCGGAUUUAUUGGGCGUAAAGCGAGCGCAGGCGGUUUGAUAAGUCUGAAGUUAGAGGCUGUGGCUCAACCAUAGUUCGCUUUGGAAACUGUCAAACUUGAGUGCAGAAGGGGAGAGUGGAAUUCCAUGUGUAGCGGUGAAAUGCGUAGAUAUAUGGAGGAACACCGGUGGCGAAAGCGGCUCUCUGGUCUGUAACUGACGCUGAGGCUCGAAAGCGUGGGGAGCGAACAGGAUUAGAUACCCUGGUAGUCCACGUCGUAAACGAUGAGUGCUAGGUGUUGGAUCCUUUCCGGGAUUCAGUGCCGCAGCUAACGCAUUAAGCACUCCGCCUGGGGAGUACGACCGCAAGGUUGAAACUCAAAGGAAUUGACGGGGGCCCGCACAAGCGGUGGAGCAUGUGGUUUAAUUCGAAGCAACGCGAAGAACCUUACCAGGUCUUGACAUCCCGAUGCUAUUUCUAGAGAUAGAAAGUUACUUCGGUACAUCGGUGACAGGUGGUGCAUGGUUGUCGUCAGCUCGUGUCGUGAGAUGUUGGGUUAAGUCCCGCAACGAGCGCAACCCCUAUUGUUAGUUGCCAUCAUUCAGUUGGGCACUCUAGCGAGACUGCCGGCAAUAAACCGGAGGAAGGUGGGGAUGACGUCAAAUCAUCAUGCCCCUUAUGACCUGGGCUACACACGUGCUACAAUGGUUGGUACAACGAGUUGCGAGUCGGUGACGGCAAGCUAAUCUCUUAAAGCCAAUCUCAGUUCGGAUUGUAGGCUGCAACUCGCCUACAUGAAGUCGGAAUCGCUAGUAAUCGCGGAUCAGCACGCCGCGGUGAAUACGUUCCCGGGCCU